rnacentral:lncRNA from 15 species
UGUAUUUACUCUUGUAACACGUCAUGUUUCUUUGAAUGUAUGAAAAUGAACACAUCAUGUGAGUUAAUAAUCCAAUUCUAUCUCAUAAUUAAAAGCAAACCAUUUACCAAUAUCAUUAAAACGCACAAAUAAAGUGUGUUUUUUGAAACUUUUAAUUAAACUAUGCUAUAUUCAUGCUCCUUAUAGUAAUAUUAUUUUUAACUGACAGAAACAAAAACAGGGCAAAAAUGUACGAUCUUAAUUGAUGUUGCUUUCCUCCCUCAGCUAACUCUUGCUAAUGAGAAUGUCUCUCCGCCCGUGUGGCAUGUUAUUUACGUUAGCAGAAUGAAAUGCUAAAAAUAAGCAGCUUAGUCCUGUUUCUGUUUCUGCUGCUGACGAAUAAAAGUGAUUAUAUUAUUUAUAAGUUAUAUUCCGCAGAAGCUCUGUUGAAGUGACCAUCAAAUCGAACUUUGACUAACGUCGAUGCAGCACUUCUGUCUGUGGGUCAUUAAAACCCUCGUCUCUGUUAUCACGUGGAGGGCUGCAGACCGGCAGUUUUUCUCGAAAAAGGAGGAUCAAGUGACCUUGUGUGAUGAGGUGAGGCUGUGCAGAGUCAGGGGAGCUGUAGAUUCUCACUCUGGCCACGACUCUGUGACUUUGGGUCGUAACUCCAGAAAACAGAGCAGCGAGAACAUUGCCGCUGUGUCCUUGAUCGGUAGCUCAUCUUCACCCAGCGAGAGGCACACCGACCAGGCACGCCGUGGCACUUUAUGGCGGAUCGAAGCUGCUCAACUUUAAUGUGUUUGUGGCUGUCGCAGCUCUGAUAAAGGGUGCAAUACAUAACACGGGAGUAAUAGACGGCGACAAGCCAAUCAAUAGCCAGAGAGGCCGUUUGACCCGCGUUUUAAAAUGACAAAUCUCCAGCCUUGCAUCACUGUGAGUGUCUCUCUGCUCUCAGUCGUGGCCAACAGCGGCCCAGAGGGACGGUGUGCAAAAAUAACCAGAGUGGACAUGAUGUCUGUCUAAGGCAAGAGCCCCCCCCCCUUUCACUGGCAUUCCUUACAGCUGACUCGUGUGUGUGUGUGUGUGUGUGAAAUCUCCAUUUCAGGUUCAAUCUCAGGUUCAAACUGGCAGUAAGAGUCUUGUAAGUAAAGACUGGGGCUUCACCUGUGAAAAGAGGCUUUUGUGGAAGGAGCCUCCUGUUUCCUGGCAGAUAAAGCACAUCAGCUUUACCACGAGAUAACACCGUGCAUACACUCACGCAGCCCCUCUCACCUACGCGUUCACCUUUUCUUUACCUUUCCCUGCCUCUCCUCUUCAUUCAUAUCUAUUUCUGUAAUUCCCUCUCGCUGAAGCGCUCUCCCCUUCUUUGCUUUUUUUCUUUUCUCUCUCCUCCUCCCCUCCUCUACCUCGUCUCCAGUCUUCUGCCCGAGCACCAGCUGCUCCUCGCCGACGUCGUCUGCUCUGUUAUAAUGUGUGUGCUGUCUCUCCUGAAGUGGCCUGUCCUGGAGAUUACCCUGCCCUCUGUCAGGGUGCAGCCUCUGGGAUUAGACUGCUAACCCCCAUGGGUCGUGUGUGUGUGUAUGUAUGUGUUUUUUGCUUGAGGGCAUCCGGAUCAAUGCCUCAGAGGGAACUACCUGCUGUUGUUCCACUCACUGAGUGUAACAUGAUUACUUCUACCUCUAGACAGCUAAUAAUGAAUCUAUGGGCCUUUCUUUUCCCUGAGCCAGACUAUCAGUCCUGUUUCUUUUUGCAUCAACAAGUAAUAAAACAAUUACUUUACACACUCUAUUUUCCCCAUUUUUGGUCUUAGGGAAGAGAUAAAUGAUUAAAUGUGUGCUAUUUAUAUAGAGAUAUGUUUACAUGAUAAUAAGACUAGCAUGUAUGUGUGUUUAACAUCAGUGGAGCAAUCAGGAGGACUGUGACUAUUUAGAUAAACUCCCUCUGGUCGUAAAACUACACGCCGGUUAACCAUGACAGUGUCACGUUUUCAACACGUUCUCAUUCCACGUUUGGUUAGUUUGGUUAGAUUUAGGCAACGAAACCACAAAUAUUGUAAGUUAUCUUACGUACCUGAUGUUAACUUGUCCACUGUGGCAGUGUCGUGUCUUCACCAGCUAGAGUUGGUUAAUGUUGGUCAUCAAUAAACUGCAGUGGUUCCCAGUCUUUUUCCUUAAACCUCCUUACUAUCAUUGAGUAAACAAGCGACCGCUGACUAAGUGACAUAUUUUCUGAGCGAUUUGUACGAAUUUUGAGCAGAUUAUUUCCUGUGACUAUUCAUUAGAGAUGACUUUCCCUUUUUUUAUGCAAUUCUCUGUCUGUAAUUGUGUAUUUAUUUGAACAAUUAACAAUUUUUAAUAGGCUUCUUUUGUUGUGACAGAUUCUGUAUUUUCUUCUCAUUGUUCUAUGAGCACUUUGGUUGUUUUCUAAUGCCGGACGAGGCUGUUUAUCAGGGAAUGAACGCUCUGUGAAUACAGCUUGUGUUCAGGUCUACAAAGUUUAGAUCUUAAAUAAAAGUCUAAAUUAAAAAAAAACAACAAUUUCAUUUGGUUUUCUUCACAGAAAUUAAUGAAAUGCUGAGACUCCCAGGUUGGGAACCACUGAUAUAUUGUGUACUGUUGUAGCAUUGCUGUAUAACUCAUGUAACUGCAGCUAAAGCUUUUUGCCCAGCAAAUAAUCUCUAACAAGU